rnacentral:rRNA from 1 species
GAGUUUGAUCAUGGCUCAGGAUGAACGCUAGCGACAGGCUUAACACAUGCAAGUCGAGGGGCAGCGGGGGCGUAGCAAUAUGCCUGCCGGCGACCGGCGCACGGGUGAGUAACACGUAUGUAACCUGCCCUAUGCAGGGGGAUAACCCGGAGAAAUCCGGCCUAAUACCGCGUAACACCUUUUGGGAGCAUUCCCGGGAGGUUAAAGGAGAGAUCCGGCAUAGGAUGGACAUGCGUCGCAUUAGGUAGACGGCGGGGUAACGGCCCACCGUGCCGACGAUGCGUAGGGGUUCUGAGAGGAAGGCCCCCCACACUGGUACUGAGACACGGACCAGACUCCUACGGGAGGCAGCAGUGAGGAAUAUUGGUCAAUGGCCGAGAGGCUGAACCAGCCAAGUCGCGUGAGGGAAGAAUGUCCUAAGGAUUGUAAACCUCUUUUGUCGGGGAGCAAAAAGGCUCUGCGGAGUCGUAUUGAGAGUACCCGAAGAAAAAGCAUCGGCUAACUCCGUGCCAGCAGCCGCGGUAAUACGGAGGAUGCGAGCGUUAUCCGGAUUUAUUGGGUUUAAAGGGUGCGCAGGCGGCGUGUCAAGCAAGCGGUAAAAUAGCGGGGCUCAACCCCGUCGAGCCGUUUGAACUGGCGCGCUUGAGUUCAGGCGAGGUAGGCGGAAUUCGUGGUGUAGCGGUGAAAUGCAUAGAUAUCACGAAGAACUCCGAUUGCGAAGGCAGCUUACCAGUCUGCGACUGACGCUCAGGCACGAAAGUGUGGGUAUCGAACAGGAUUAGAUACCCUGGUAGUCCACACAGUAAACGAUGAGCGCUAGGUGUCCGGGUCGCAUGAGACUUGGGUGCCCGAGCGAAAGCGUUAAGCGCUCCACCUGGGGAGUACGCCGGCAACGGUGAAACUCAAAGGAAUUGACGG